UUCUUCCUCUGGCCUCUUAUCCCAGGGGUCUGCCACACACUGUAGAGAACAGAUAUAAUCCAGUUCAGCCAGGGCAAGCAGCCCACCCUAGGGACCAGCCCUGCCCAACAGCAAGCCUUCAGGCUACUUGUUUGCCUGCAUUGACUGGGGUGCCUUGAUCCUCUACAGGCAGGAAACAUGCAAGGAUCAGCUGCAAUAAAGGAACUUACGAAUGAGGCAUCAGUAUCCUGGCUUGGAUUAAUAUAUAACAUUAUUUUUCUACCAGUGUAAAGAGAACAUGAUUUGGAUGGAGAGGUUAAAAGACAGAUAAAAACUCUGGAAAUUAUCCAGCUAGACUAGUGGCCCAUGACUGUGUGCCAAAAUUCAGAGAACUUUCACAUGGAAGAUGUUUAUUG
rnacentral:lncRNA from 1 species